rnacentral:rRNA from 1 species
GAUGAACGCUGGCGGCGUGCUUAACACAUGCAAGUCGAACGGUGAAGCCCUUCGGGGUGGAUCAGUGGCGAACGGGUGAGUAACACGUGAGCAACCUGCCCCUGACUCUGGGAUAACUUCGGGAAACCGGAGCUAAUACUGGAUAUGACGCUCUCACGCAUGUGGGGGUGUGGAAAGUUUUUCGGUUGGGGAUGGGCUCGCGGCCUAUCAGCUUGUUGGUGGGGUGAUGGCCUACCAAGGCGACGACGGGUAGCCGGCCUGAGAGGGCGACCGGCCACACUGGGACUGAGACACGGCCCAGACUCCUACGGGAGGCAGCAGUGGGGAAUAUUGCGCAAUGGGCGAAAGCCUGACGCAGCGACGCCGCGUGAGGGAUGAAGGCCUUCGGGUUGUAAACCUCUUUCAGCGCCGAAGAAGCGUAAGUGACGGUAGGCGCAGAAGAAGCACCGGCUAACUACGUGCCAGCAGCCGCGGUAACAC